GCCGUGGUCCGUGAGCUAUGGAGAUGGUUCAACUUCCAGAGGCUUCCUCAUAAAUUUUUGGAAUUUUUGAGACACAGAUAAACUUCGGGUGAUCGAGGUCAGCUAUUUUUCUGCAUCCAGCAGCCACAAUAGUCAUCGGUGUACUACCACAGGAGGAGUUAUUUUACAGAGCAACCUGUUUUCUUCCUCGCAGGUUUAACGUCGAUUAUUUAAUUGUUGCACUAUCUUUUCUAAAUUUAAAAUCUAGAACUCCGCAUGUGUUAGUAAUAGUGUGGACCUUGUUAGAGAUUGUGUUAAUUUAAAAUUUUGAGACUAAUAAAUGAAGAUUUGU